rnacentral:rRNA from 1 species
GCGCGCCGUAGAUUCCAGUUGGAUCAUUGAGUGGUUCCCUACUGUUGUAAAUAUAUACUGUAACAUACUACAGGGUACACCAAGAAAUUUGA